UGGGGAAUAUUGGGCAAUGGGGGAAACCCUGACCCAGCAACGCCGCGUGAGUGAAGAAGGCCUUCGGGUUGUAAAGCUCUGUCGCAGGGGACGAAACAAAUGACGGUACCCUGUGAGGAAGCCCCGGCUAACUACGUGCCAGCAGCCGCGGUAAUACGUAGGGGGCGAGCGUUGUCCGGAAUUACUGGGCGUAAAGGGUGCGUAGGUGGCUUGUUAAGUUGGAUGUGAAAUCCCCGGGCUCCACUUGGGUGGUGCAUUCAAAACUGGCGAGCUAGAGUGCAGGAGAGGGAAGCGGAAUUCCUAGUGUAGCGGUGAAAUGCGUAGAUAUUAGGAGGAACACCAGUGGCGAAGGCGGCUUUCUGGACUGUAACUGACACUGAGGCACGAAAGCGUGGGGAGCAAACA
rnacentral:rRNA from 1 species